rnacentral:rRNA from 1 species
CCUACGGGUGGCAGCAGUGAGGAAUAUUGGUCAAUGGGCGGAAGCCUGAACCAGCCAAGCAGCGUGCAGGAGGACGGCUCUGUGAGUUGUAAACUGCUUUUGUACGGGGAUAAACGGACGUACGCGUAUGUGUCUGAACGUACCGUACGAAUAAGGAUCGGCUAACUCCGUGCCAGCAGCCGCGGUAAUACGGAGGAUUCAGGCGUUAUCCGGAUUUAUUGGGUUUAAAGGGGGCGUAGGCGGCCGGAUAAGUUAGAGGUGAAAUCGCGCGGCUCAACUUCGGCCGUGCCUCUGCUACUGUGCGGCUAGAGAGCAGUGGAGGCAGGCGGAAUGCAUGGUGUAGCGGUGAAAUGCUUAGAUAUCACACAGAACCCCGAUUGCGAAGGCAGCUUGCUAAG